rnacentral:lncRNA from 10 species
GGCCAGGCUGGUGCUUUCAUUAAUUCUUGUUUAUUUUUUAUUAUUUUUUUUUUCUGGUUAAAAAUAGGUCUUGGUGACCUUUGGAAGUGACCUUGAAGGGGAAAAAUUCGCUGAAGGGCUACGUAUAGCCUGAACUGAAGUUCAAUGCACGUUGGAAGUAGUGGGAGGAGAGAAGAGCUCUGUGCACCUAAUGGUUCUGCUGAAUCCUCCGGCAGAUGAAGGAAGAAUGAGAGCACGAAGAAUGGAAAGGAAAGUUUUAUGGGCCAGGGCUGGAGGUAGUAUUGAUCAUUUCUUUCCAU